rnacentral:rRNA from 1 species
AGAGUUUGAUCAUGGCUCAGGAUGAACGCUGGCGGCGUGUCUAAGGCAUGCAAGUCGAACGGGUUCAAUGCCGCAAGGUGUUGGACUAGUGGCAAACGGGUGAGUAACACAUUGAUAACCUACCCCGAAGUGUGGGAUAACUCCGCGAAAGCGGAACUAAUACCACGUACGAUCUUUUGGCACAUGUCAAAAGAGGAAAGGCCCGCAAGGGUCGCUUUGGGAGGGAUCUAUGGCUUAUCAGCUAGUUGGUAAGGUAAUGGCUUACCAAGGCUAUGACGAGUAGCGGGCGUGAGAGCGCGACCCGCCUCAGUGGGACUGAGACACUGCCCACACUCCUACGGGAGGCUGCAGUCAAGAAUAUUCCCCAAUGGACGAAAGUCUGAGGGAGCGACGCCGCGUGCAGGAUGAAGGUCUUCGGAUUGUAAACUGCUUUUCUCUGGGAAGAACAUUGACCGUACCAGAGGAAUAAGAGGUUGCUAACUCUGUGCCAGCAGCAGCGGUAAUACAGAGACCUCGAGCGUUAUCCGGAUUUAUUGGGCGUAAAGGGUCCGUAGGCGGUUUUAUAAGUCUUCGGUUAAAUCUUUGGGCUCAACCCAAAGGCUGCCGGGGAAACUAUAAGACUUGAGACUGGGAGAGGCAAGCGGAAUUACCGGUGUAGUAGUAAAAAUGCGUUAAUAUCGGUAAGAACACCAAAUGCGAAGGCAGCUUGCUAGAACAGUUCUGACACUCAGGGACGAAAGCGUGGGGAGCAAAACGGAUUAGAUACCCGUGUAGUCCACGCCGUAACGAUGGGUACUGGGCAUUGGAAGUAUCGACCCUUUCAGUGCCGCAUAUCAAAGCUAACGCGUUAAGUACCCCGCCUGGGGGAGUACGGCCGCAAGGCUAAAACUCAAAGGAAUUGACGGGAACCCGCACAAGCGGGUGGAGCAUGUGGUUUAAUUCGACAAUAAGCGUGGAACCUUACCUAGGCUUGACAUGCUGGAAGUAAUCCUCGACGAAAAUUGAGAGGACCGUUAAAUCGGAGUCCAGCACAGGUGCUGCAUGGUUGUCGUCAGCUCGUGUCGUGAGAUGUUCCGUUAAGUCGGGAAACGAGCGCAACCCUCACGGUCAGUUAAAUUUUUCUGGCCGAACUGCCCCCCACUUUGCGCACAAACGCAAAGUAAAAACUCUAAAUUCGAAAUCCUAAACUCUAAACAAAUUCAAAAUUUCAAACAAUUGUUUUGAACAUUUGAAUUUUGGUCAUUAGAUAUUGUUUAGGAUUUAGUGCUUAGGAUUUAUUACUUUGUUUGUUUGCGAAUAAAGUGGGGGGAGGAAGGCGAGGAUGACGUCAAAUCAGCAUGGCUCUUACGUCUAGGGCUACACACGUGCUACAAUGGCCGGUUACAAUGGGAAGCAAAACCGCAAGGUGAAGCAAAUCCCCUAAAGCUGGUCUCAGUUCGGAUUGAGGUCUGCAACUCGACCUCAUGAAGUCGGAAUCGCUAGUAAACGCGUAUCAGCCACGGCACGUUGAAUACGUUCUCGGGUUUUGUACACACCGCCCGU